CUAGGUGUACCUAGAUGGGCACGAGUGAACCUAAGUGGGCUUGAGUGACCAGAAAAGUGCCUAAGUGACCUAGGGUGAUCAGGAAAAGUGCCUAACUAUCCUAGGAUGUGUCUAAGUGACCAAAGUUGUAUUUAAGUGUCCUAAAAGUGUACCUAAAUGUGCUAUCUUGAAAAGAAGAUACUAAACCUAACUUGGGGUUGCCAAAUGUCACAAUGAGGGGCCAAACCAACCCUCAAUCA
rnacentral:lncRNA from 1 species